AUGAUUGACAUCUAUUCUACAGAACAAAAUCUGCUAAAUUUCAGCAUAUCUAGCGGAUUUCUCGGUACUUUAUAUAUACUCUUUUUGGCUGCUUUAUUGGGCAUAGUUGAUGGAGUUCUAAUGACACAACUCAGUGCUUUACUAGGAAUUCUAUUUAAGCAUGACAUGAAGCAGGAAAUGUUGUUGAUCAAACCAUGGGAGCCAUCAAAACAGUUGCGUCUUUUACCGGGGAGAAAAAGGCAAUAUAAAAGUACAAUACACCUAUGGACUUGCAAUGUGGUAUGGUUCCAUGUUAGUCCUUGA